CGACAUCCUUGUGAACGAACAUCUCUGCAGAGAUACUGGUCCACAAUAAUGAAACUGGAGGUAGAUAAAAUUUUCAUGAUUUGUCAAAAUGCUUGAGCUUUGCCAAGCUACUGUGACAGAUAACCAGUAGCAUAGAGAUUUCCAUCCAUUAGAAUCUCAGAUGUAUGAAUUACCAAACACAUUCUCUAGCGUCUGCUUGUACGACUUUUUGCUCUAGUCUUAGAUUGAGUCCCAAAGCUUGCCCCUGAUGCUAGUGCAGGCCCUGAAGCAAAAGGUGUUGCAAAAGAUGAAACUCCAGAAGCUGGGGUAGAACCAAAUAAUGGAGUACUAAAGGCUGGAGUUGAAGUGGACAAGGACCCAAAGAGUGAACUUUGGGGGGAAGCACCAGAUGUUCCGAACAAAGAGGAGACUGGAGCUGACAUUGUUGGAGUAGUGAACAGGGAAGAAGAUGAAGCAGCAACGGAUGGGGUAGCAAAUAGUGAGGAUCCACUUCCUGCUGAGGCAGAAGAAACUGCAGAUGACG
rnacentral:misc_RNA from 1 species